CUUGACAUCCAGAGAUUUAGCAGAGAGGCUUUAGUGCCUUCGGGAACUCUGAGACAGGUGCUGCAUGGCUGUCGUCAGCUCGUGUUGUGAAAUGUUGGGUUAAGUCCCGNAACGAGCGCAACCCUUAUCCUUUGUUGCCAGCACGUAAUGGUGGGAACUCAAAGGAGACUGCCGGUGAUAAACCGGAGGAAGGUGGGGAUGACGUCAAGUCAUCAUGGCCCUUACGAGUAGGGCUACACACGUGCUACAAUGGCGCAUACAAAGAGAAGCGACCUCGCGAGAGCAAGCGGACCUCAUAAAGUGCGUCGUAGUCCGGAUUGGAGUCUGCAACUCGACUCCAUGAAGUCGGAAUCGCUAGUAAUCGUAAAUCAGAAUGUUACGGUGAAUACGUUCCCGGGCCUUGUACACACCGCCCGUCACACCAUGGGAGUGGGUUGCAAAAGAAGUAGAUAGCUUAACCUUCGGGAGGGCGUUUACCACUUUGUGAUUCAUGACUGGGGUGAAGUCGUAACAAGGUAGGCGUAGUGCU
rnacentral:rRNA from 1 species